rnacentral:rRNA from 1 species
UACGGAAGGCAGCAGUGGGGAAUAUUGCACAAUGGGCGCAAGCCUGAUGCAGCCAUGCCGCGUGUAUGAAAAAGGCCUUCGGGUUGUAAAGUACUUUCUAGUCGUGAGGAAGGUGUUAAGGUUAAUAACCUUAGCAAUUGACGUUAGCGACAGAAGAAGCACCGGCUAACUCCGUGCCAGCAGCCGCGGUAAUACGGAGGGUGCGAGCGUUAAUCGGAAUUACUGGGCGUAAAGGGCACGCAGGCGGUUAAUUAAGUUGGAUGUGAAAUCCCCGGGCUUAACCUGGGAAUGGCAUUCAAGACUGGUUAGCUAGAGUCUUGUAGAGGGGGUAGAAUUCCAUGUGUAGCGGUGAAAUGCGUAGAGAUGUGGAGGAAUACCGGUGGCGAAGGCGGCCCCUGGACAAAGACUGACGCUCAUGUGCGAAAGCGUGGGGAGCAAACAGGGAUUAGAUACC